UACACAUACACAUACACAUAUAUAUUAAAUUGUCCUAAAAUUAUAUUUUUUAGUGAUCACCGAAAGCUUUUAAUGUUUGAACCAACCACUUCAAGAACAUUUAUGUUGAUUCAAUAAAAAAGGGAAACUCGGUGGAAAGUUACCUCAUUUCAAAGCUAAUUCCCAGUGGUUUCAAGAGAAAUUUUACAUGGACAGUGAUCAAUUGCCACCAACAACGGGCUCAUGGGAAUCCGGUUAUAUGUUAAUAAAACAUAUGUGGGAGUUUGUUGAGAUAAUUCAACAUGACUAUAUUAAUCGUGUAAGUGUAUUUCAUAUAUUUAAGAUAUAUCAGCCUUUUAAUUUAUUUAUAUACAUUUGGAUACUUUGUUUUGUUUGUUUCUCAUAAAUGGAAUACACAAGAGAAGACUCCGAGCGAGGAAAUUGAAUCUAUGGUCGUAGACCUGAUGGAGCGUUGGAUUAAGGAGGUGUUUGGGGUCCGGGCAUGAACUCCGUAAAGGUGUCUCAAGGAACUGAGUGAGAUUGUUUUUGCACAUGAAAAGUAGAUAAUUGUCAAAAGCCAUCAGUAAGUUCGUGCUACUAUACAGUUGUAAUUUGAUUUUCAUAGGGCCAUCUACAACCUCAACACCAUUUGGGUUAGUUUAACAAACUUCUCUUCUCUACAAGUCUGGUUGCAAUCAUGGAUUGAAGACGUUGGUUUGGGUUAAAAGUAUGAAGACAUCGGUCGGUUUAGGAAGUUAUUGUACGCCACUUUCAUCUUUAGAGUUAUAUGUAUUAUUGUGUUACUGGGAAACUUUUGUAAUAUUGUGUUACUUUAAAACCUUUGUAUUUUAUAUUCUUGGGUUGUA